rnacentral:rRNA from 1 species
UACGUAGGGUGCAAGCGUUAAUCGGAAUUACUGGGCGUAAAGCGUGCGCAGGCGGUGAUGUAAGACAGAUGUGAAAUCCCCGGGCUCAACCUGGGAACUGCAUUUGUGACUGCAUCGCUGGAGUGCGGCAGAGGGGGAUGGAAUUCCGCGUGUAGCAGUGAAAUGCGUAGAUAUGCGGAGGAACACCGAUGGCGAAGGCAAUCCCCUGGGCCUGCACUGACGCUGAGACGCGGAAAGCGUGGGGAGCAAACAGG